UAACUAUUUUAAUUUUGGACGC
rnacentral:siRNA from 1 species